rnacentral:tRNA from 1 species
ACUUAAUUAGUUUAAAUAGAAUACUGGUUUGUGAUGUCAGAGGAGUUAUUGACAUUAGGUU